UACGGAGGGUGCAAACGUUGCUCGGAAUCAUUGGGCGUAAAGCGCACGUAGGCGGUCUGUUAAGUCGGGUGUGAAAGCCCUGGGCUCAACCCAGGAAGUGCACUCGAAACUGGCGGGCUUGAAUAUGGAAGAGGGUCGCGGAAUUCCCGGUGUAGAGGUGAAAUUCGUAGAUAUCGGGAGGAACACCAGUGGCGAAGGCGGCGACCUGGGCCAAUAUUGACGCUGAGGUGCGAAAGCGUGGGGAGCGAACAGG
rnacentral:rRNA from 1 species